rnacentral:lncRNA from 1 species
UUGGUGCAUUGCAUAGUUUUAGCCAUUCGAUUUCGCUCAAAAGUCACCAAAUGACUCCGCCCAUCAUAUUAUGAUGUUCCCCAAGUUUUGGACUCAAUCCGAUGUUGAUUGGUCCCUGAAAUUGGACAAUUCAGGUUCGUACGAAGGUCGUUAUGAAAUGGAGCGGUUGAUGUAUUGCAUAGUUCUAGCCAUUGGAUUUCACUCCAAACUCGCCAAAUGACUCCUAACACAACAUUAUGAUGUUCCCCAAGUUUUGGCCUCAAUCCGAUAUCGAUUGGUCCACAAAAUUGGAGAAUUCAUGUUCGUAUGAAGUUCGUUAUGAAAUGGAGUGGUUGGUGUAUUGCAUAGUUUUAGCCAUUGGAUUUUACUCAAAACUCACCAAAUUACUCCUCCCACCAUAUUAUGAUGUUCCCCAAGUUUUGGAAUCAAUCCGAUAUCGAUUGGUCCAUAAAAUUGGACAAUUAAGGUUCGUACAAAGUUCGUUAUGGAAUUCACUGCUUGGUGCAUUGCAUAGUUUUAGCCAUUGGAUUUCACUCAAAACUCCCCAAAUGACUCCUCC